GACGAACGCUGGCGGCGUGCCUAAUACAUGCAAGUUGAGCGAUGAAGAUUGGUGCUUGCACCAAUUUGAAGAGCAGCGAACGGGUGAGUAACGCGUGGGGAAUCUGCCUUUGAGCGGGGGACAACAUUUGGAAACGAAUGCUAAUACCGCAUAACAACUUUAAACAUAAGUUUUAAGUUUGAAAGAUGCAAUUGCAUCACUCAAAGAUGAUCCCGCGUUGUAUUAGCUAGUUGGUGAGGUAAAGGCUCACCAAGGCGAUGAUACAUAGCCGACCUGAGAGGGUGAGCGGCCACAUUGGGACUGAGACACGGCCCAGACUCAUGCGGGAGGCAGCAGUAGGGAAUCGUCGGCGAUGGACGAAAGUCUGACCGAGCAACGCCGCGUGAGUGAAGAAGGUUUUCGGAUCGUAAAACUCUGUUGGUAGAGAAGAACGUUGGUGAGAGUGGAAAGCUCAUCAAGUGACGGUAACUACCCAGAAAGGGACGGCUAACUACGUG
rnacentral:rRNA from 1 species